rnacentral:rRNA from 1 species
AUUGAACGCUGGCGGCAGGCCUAACACAUGCAAGUCGAACGGUAACAGGAAACAGCUUGCUGUUUCGCUGACGAGUGGCGGACGGGUGAGUAAUGUCUGGGAAACUGCCUGCUGGAGGGGGAUAACUACUGGAAACGGUAGCUAAUACCGCAUAACGUCGCAAGACCAAAGAGGGGGACCUUCGGGCCUCUUGCCAUCGGAUGUGCCCAGAUGGGAUUAGCUAGUAGGUGGGGUAACGGCUCACCUAGGCGACGAUCCCUAGCUGGUCUGAGAGGAUGACCAGCCACACUGGAACUGAGACACGGUCCAGACUCCUACGGGAGGCAGCAGUGGGGAAUAUUGCACAAUGGGCGCAAGCCUGAUGCAGCCAUGCCGCGUGUAUGAAGAAGGCCUUCGGGUUGUAAAGUACUUUCAGCGGGGAGGAAGGGAGUAAAGUUAAUACCUUUGCUCAUUGACGUUACCCGCAGAAGAAGCACCGGCUAACUCCGUG